AGUGUGUGUGUGUGUGAGGAAAGAUAUGGUGGAAACGGAAGGAGUUUGGUGGAAAAGGCAGGCAGUUUAUGCUGCGCUGUGAUUGGCUGAGAAGCAGGUGCAGGUCGUCUCUAGUUCCCGCCUGACAUGGAUGGAAGAAAUGAGACGCAGUGGUUUCAGAAAUCUUUCAUCAUGACAUGGUUGUGUUGGUCUCUUGAGCAGCAGAGGACGGUUCAUCCGUCCCUAAUAAAACUCAGACCGGGUCCAGCAUCAGAUGAGAGAACUCUUCAGACCUAAAGCCUCAGCAGUCCAGGCAUGGACUCAAGACCUGGACCGGAGGGUCGCCACGGUCUUUAAGACACAAGACUCACAAACACUUUGGCAGCUGGACGUCCCGACCGAGGAAAAGGCUAAAAUCAGGAUCAUGAUACUGGAAACAAGGACGUCGUCCUUCUUCCAGGACAUCCAGCUGUUCUGUCAUCAAACGUGGCACAAAGCAGAAGCUGCUGAACGAGGGCAUGAACUGAACGGAUCUGAAUUCCAGAAAUCUGGGACCAACGGAGUUCCUGAACCAAUAAGAGACGCCUUUGGAGGGAAGCUGUCAGCUGAUGUCAGCCUAGAGUUUCUGACGGCAUGUGGCAACAGACUGAUUUCAGCCAAACUGCAGCUGGACAGCAGCUGGAUGCAGAUCUGAUACACAAAGUCUAGAAAUGGAAAGUUCUGUCCAUCAGACCAACACAGCGGAUUCUGGGAUGUUCUGCUCUCUUGGUGAAACAAGCUAAACAUUAUUCAGAGAUGGACUGAAAACACUUGGUGUGCUGGACUAAAUCCAAGCUCAGCUCUUCUGUGCUGGUCUCCUGCAGCCUUUCAGCUGAUGUGGCCGACAGUCUUUUCAUUAUCCGCCAUCUCCAGCUGGCAGCAACAGAAGCUGCUGAGGAAGUUCUUCCUUUCUGGAGACACACGCAGAAAUGAGGAAGGAACAGAAACUGGGAACGAUCCUCGCCUUUUCCACAGGAGCCAACACUCCUUCACCGACUGGGUUCUCUCCUCCACAAAGAGGAGGAUUCAGGAAGCUGCAAAGCUGCCGCUGCAAACAGCUGCACUAACUGCUUGAAGCUACGCUGCAGACCUCAUACGGAGACCUUCAGGAAAACAGGGGCUCUGCGGUGGGCGGGACCCUUGGUUUUAGCCCAGCGUAAUAUGUGUACAGGUCUGGAUCAAAGUAUUCUGUGUUAAGGUCAAGUUCAUGUUCAGUUAAUGACACAAAGCAACGUGAAACUUUUCUUCUUUUCUCUUGUUUUUAUGUGAUUUUGUACAAUAAAUACAAACCUGCUGCAUAUUUGUCAAACUGAAGUUAAUAGAUGUGAAGAACGCUUCACAUUUUCAGCUGCUUUCUGCAAGUAAUGUUGAAAUCGAACUUCACUGCAGCUUUUUAGUCAGACACUAUUCCACUUUUAAAUUUAUCUACAGCUCACUAUUUUCCUCUUGAUUUUAUCGCCUGCUUUUCAAACGGAUCAACCAACAAACAC